rnacentral:tRNA from 1 species
GCCGCUUUAGCUCAGCUAGGUAGAGCACUUCCAUGGUAAGGAAGAGGUCAUCGGUCCGAAUCCGAUAAGUGGCU